UCCUGCCCUUGGGUGGAUACUGCAGUAAGAGAGCUGACUCCAACCCCCAUGGGAGAGCUGGCCCUAUACUCAGGAGAGACGACCCCACCUCUCACCAUGGGCAUAGGAGAGCUGGCUCUGCCCCUUGCUUGAGAGGGUUGGUCCUAGUGGCCCAGACCAACCAGCUCAGCUUCCACCCAGACUUAUAUACUGGGCCUUGGGUUGGCCCACCCUAACAUCUAUCCCAUCUAUGACCUGCUUGAGUAUGGGAAGAGACUGGUCCUGCAGAAUGAUAACCCCAGGAUCUCCAUGACUCCAGGCAAUAGCAAGAUAUCAGAGAGGAGUUUCAGUGAGGGUCCAAUGAUGAUGGUAUGCCAGAGGCCUUGAACUAGACCAAUGACUCAUUGUAAUGAACAUUUUGUGGGUGUGUCUGAUUGGACAAAAGGGUAUGUACUGUAUGACACACUGCAGCGCCCAAUGCUACUAGGACGAAUGAAGAGGUGUUGGGAAAGAUGGAGGAGCAAGCAGCAGUGAACUGAAGUAUGACCUAGUGAUGAUCACGCCCCUGCAGGUUUGAGACAGACACCGAGUGAGUAAGCAACAGCACCUCUUGAAGAACUCUCUGCUUAAGUGGGAAUGUCUUUGCUUCACUUGACACUAAGCCAGACUCUCCAAAGAGUCUGAUCUUUGUAUUUAUGCCCUGAAAAGAACUCCAGGUCAACUCAAGGACCAACCAGGUUCUGACCUCUCACAUUCAAGGUAAUGCAGCGUUCAUCUAACUCUCAGCUCCACGGCUUUCAGCUCUGUUUCUUUAGUCAUGAAAUUAUUUUCUAGAUCAUUUUGUGAAGAAACAACACACAUGUUGGAUCCAAGAACACUUAACUCUGUUCAAAGAUGAUUUGUGAUCUGAUCAACUACUCCCAUUCUGUCUUGCAGCUUAGUGAAUUCUGUGGCCCUCCAAGAUCCUUGGGCUCCAUGGACCACCAUGGCAAAUCCACAACAUGUUCUAGUCAGGGCUUCAACUACAAAUUAGCAUAUAUCGCCGGAAGCCCACACAAGCAACAUCUAAGCAUUUCCUACAGGGGCACUAAUGUUACAGCUCAAAAUCAUAUUAGACUUCACCAUGGAAACAGACAUUGGGGGUUCACUGAUUCACUUCCAAUAAAGUUGCUUAGGACACCAUCUGAUGCACCACCCAGGGGACCUAAGCAAGAAAUUUCCCUUCUGAUUUAAUAAUACAAAUUAUGCAUCUCCUGUGUA